UAAGUCCUGUUGGAGAAGCAGGGCACGUGCAAGCCAUUCUACUUUCUAGUUAUCUGAUUUUGCACGUGCUCCCCUUCUCCAACAUGAUUUU
rnacentral:pre_miRNA from 1 species